AUGAAAUAAUAAAAAUUAUUUGAUAUUUUUCAUCGCAAAGUAUACAUCUUUCUUAUUAGAAUUCUUGUGUUGUGAUGAAGUCCUUAGAACUAUAUGAUAAUCGAUAAAGAAGAAUUUAUCGAAUAGUUCUUAAAUAUAUUCGGGACCAAAUGAUACGUCAUUAAAGGAUGAUGACAUUCAUCAAGUGUAGAUCAUUGUGUGCCAUAUAGAUUGGUUGUCCUUUUAACCAAAGAGUAUAGAGAUACUGGUAUGGCAUAUAGGUG
rnacentral:lncRNA from 1 species